rnacentral:rRNA from 1 species
AGUGAACGCUGGCGGUAGGCCUAACACAUGCAAGUCGAACGGCAGCACAGUAAGAGCUUGCUCUUACGGGUGGCGAGUGGCGGACGGGUGAGGAAUACAUCGGAAUCUACUUUUUCGUGGGGGAUAACGUAGGGAAACUUACGCUAAUACCGCAUACGACCUACGGGUGAAAGCAUGGGAUCUUCGGACCUUGCGCGAUUGAAUGAGCCGAUGUCGGAUUAGCUAGUUGGCGGGGUAAAGGCCCACCAAGGCGGCGAUCCGUAGCUGGUCUGAGAGGAUGAUCAGCCACACUGGAACUGAGACACGGUCCAGACUCCUACGGGAGGCAGCAGUGGGGAAUAUUGGACAAUGGGCGCAAGCCUGAUCCAGCCAUACCGCGUGGGUGAAGAAGGCCUUCGGGUUGUAAAGCCCUUUUGUUGGGAAAGAAAAGCAGCAGGUUAAUACCCCGCUGUUCUGACGGUACCCAAAGAAUAAGCACCGGCUAACUUCGUG